rnacentral:lncRNA from 12 species
AUGGGUCAGGGAAGCGGCAUGGGUCAGGGAAGCGGCCAGGGCCAGGGCAGCGGCAUGGGCCAGGGCAGCGGCAUGGGUCAGGGCAUGGGCCAGGGCGUGGGUCAGGGCAUGGGUCAGGGCGGGGGCCAGGGAAGCGGCCAGGGCAUGGGUCAGGGAAGGGGCAUGGGUCAGGGCAUGGGUCAGGGCAUGGGCCAGGGCGUGGGCCGGGGCAGGGGCCAGGGCAUGGGCCAGGGAAGCGGCCAGGGCAUGGGCCAGGGUCAGGGAAGCGGCCAGGGCGUGGGUCAGGGCAUGGGUCAGGGCGUGGGUCAGGGAAGCGGCCAGGGCAUGGGCCAGGGAAGCGGCCAGGGCCAGGGCAGGGGCCAGGGAAGCGGCCAGGGCAUGGGUCAGGGCAUGGGUCAGGGCGUGGGUCAGGGAAGCGGCCAGGGCGUGGGUCAGGGAAGCGGCCAGGGCAUGGGUCAGGGAAGCGGCAUGGGUCAGGGCAUGGGUCAGGGCAUGGGUCAGGGAAGCGGCCAGGGCCAGGGCAGCGGCAUGGGCCAGGGCAGCGGCAUGGGUCAGGGCAUGGGUCAGGGCAUGGGCCAGGGAAGCGGCAUGGGCCAGGGUCAGGGCCAGGGUCAGGGCAUGGGUCAGGGAAGCGGCCAGGGCAUGGGUCAGGGAAGCGGCCAGGGCAUGGGUCAGGGAAGCGGCCAGGGCAUGGGCAUGGGCCAGGGUCAGGGCAUGGGCCAGGGCCAGGGAAGCGGCCAGGGCAUGGGCCAGGGAAGCGGCCAGGGGCAGGGCAGGGGCCAGGGUCAGGGAAGGGGCCAGGGCAUGGGCCAGGGAAGCGGCCUGGGCCAGGGUCAGGGCCAGGGUCAGGGCAAGGGCCAGGGCAGCGGCCAGGGCAUGGGUCAGGGAAGCGGCCAGGGGCAGGGCAGCGGCAUGGGCCAGGGCAGCGGCACGGGUCAGGGCAUGGGCCAGGGCAUGGGCCAGGGCAUGGGUCAGGGCAGGGGUCAGGGUCAGGGCAUGGGCCAGGGUAGGGGCAUGGGCCAGGGUCAGGGCAUGGGCCAGGGUCAGGGAAGCGGCCAGGGCGUGGGUCAGGGCAUGGGUCAGGGCGUGGGUCAGGGAAGCGGCCAGGGCAUGGGCAAGGGAAGCGGCCAGGGCCAGGGCAUGGGCCAGGGCAUGGGUCAGGGCAUGGGCCAGGGAAGCGGCCUGGGUCAGGGCAUGGGCCAGGGACGGGGCAGCGGCCAGGGCAUGGGCCAGGGAAGCGGCCAGGGUCACGGGCAGGGCCAGGGACAGGGGAGCGGCCAGGGCAUGGGCCAGGGAAGCGGCCGGGGCCAGGGCAUGGGCCAGGGAAGCGGCCAGGGCCAGGGCAUGGGCCAGGGAAGCGGUCAGUGA